rnacentral:rRNA from 1 species
UACGGGAGGCAGCAGUAGGGAAUCUUGCGCAAUGGGGGAAACCCUGACGCAGCCAUGCCGCGUGAAUGAUGAAGGUCUUAGGAUUGUAAAAUUCUUUCAGCGGGGAAGAUAAUGACUGUACCCGCAGAAGAAGCUCCGGCUAACUUCGUGCCAGCAGCCGCGGUAAUACGAAGGGGGCUAGCGUUGCUCGGAAUUACUGGGCGUAAAGGGCGCGUAGGCGGGUGUUUAAGUCAGAGGUCAAAUCCCAGGGCUCAACCCUGGAACUGCCUUUUGAUACUGGGCACCUAGAGUACGGGAGAGGUGUGUGGAACUCCGAGUGUAGAGGUGAAAUUCGUAGAUAUUCGGAAGAACACCAGUGGCGAAGGCGACACACUGGCCCGUUACUGACGCUGAGGCGCGAAAGCGUGGGGAGCAAACAGGGAUUUAGAUACC